rnacentral:lncRNA from 1 species
GUAGGAAUAAAUUGAUGUAAUCUUUUCAAACUGAUUUGGUAUUAUCAAAGUAAUUCAACAAAAGGCAAACCCAAUUUCAUGACUUCAUAUCCAUAGAUAAGAAAACCUGUUACAGUUAACUCAUUCCAAAUUCCAACUAUAAAUAAGGAAACCUAAUUAUAUAGAUUUAAACUCAAUGUGUUACUACAUGUUUUGAAAUUCUAGUAGCUAGAAUCAUGUUCAUAUGCCUGACAAAUGACAACAGCUACAUUAUAUUUAUAGGAUCGAAUUAUUCUUAUCAGAUAUACCUCUUCACCAUUAUUGAUUUGGAACCCUUUGCAAAGAAUAGAGUAGAGUUCCUUCUUUGUUUUCCAUUGCACACUCUCUUUUCACCACCUGAGUAUGUUUUUGUUACAAAUUGUAUAGCUGUAAAUAGAUUUGAUAGAUAGAUUUGUAACAGAAUAGGAAGAAGAUGAAAGAAAUGAUGCUGAUGUAUUGAUAUAUAGAAUCAAAAUGAAGAAUGUUCCACAAUCAUAAGAUUGCCCAGGGAUAAACGUAAGCCCUCUCUCACUGAAUAAAUAAUCAGGAGCCAAUUACAAUGCAAAGGAAAUACUUGACAUCUCUCACAGAAAUAUUCCCUCUAUUUAUUAGCUUCUCUCCCUGAACAGACUUCUAGCCACCUUCCUUUUCUACCCCUUUGUUGAUUUCCUUUUCUACCCUUUUGUCCCUCUUGGAAAAAACCUGUAAUAACCUGGGCUUUUCCUUCCGAAUCAUUGUAGCAUCACAUUUGUAUCAGUCUUCAUACUCAAUUGGCAACUUUUGUUCCCAAUAUGUGUCUGGCUCUGGCAUAUCCACCUCCUCAUCCUCUAACACUUGAUGAUCCACCUGUAAUUAAGCUUACACAUAAACAAAAUGAUCUAAAUGGAUAAACCAGAAGUUGUUGGUUGGCUUACUCUCUCGAUGGGCUGGAAUUUGAUUCCUGCAAUGCCCUCGGCAAUCAAAACUAAUAUCAAAAUCAGCAUAUGUCUUGAUGCUAGUAAACUGAUACAUUUCAGUCAUGAAUCAAAAGUAAUAUCAAAAUCAGCACUUGUCUUUCAGUUCGAUUUUAAGAUGUUGAGUCUCUCCAGAAAGGCCUCAUUUAUUUGUUGAUCAGAUCGUAACUAUGAAAUUUAAAUCGAAAUGAUGGAAGCAAUUGCAAUUGCAAGUGCAGGCCAUGAAAUUGUGUGGGUAAGGUGAGAUAUAAUGAUCGCACAUAAUUGCAUAGUAUGUAAGUCAACGUGUUGAAUAGUCAACACUUUUUUGCUCUCUUGAUGUUGAGUUGUGGACAAUAACAAUAACAAGUUGCAGUGACAACGAUGACAAGUUUUGGUAGAGGCAGAGAUGAGAAUGGGGCCAGCGGUGGUCGCCGGUGUGAGAGAGUAAUGUUAUCAAAUCCCCUGAAUCUGAAUCACUCCGUAGAUCUCACAUCCAGCUCUACCAUCUAGGGUGUGUAUCUUGAAUGGAAUCAUCAAAACAAGGUUUAGGAAGUGUUACAGAAGAAUUGAUCGUCGCCAGCACCCGUUGUGGUUGAGAUGCAAUAGUAAAUUAACUUGGUAUUCAUUUUGAGAAAUUGAAGUUAUUAAUGGCGCUUAAGCUUCCAGCUGCUGAAGCUGCAAAUGUUGCGAUUCAGUCAAUUGGAUGUGGUUAUGAUAUCUCGUUAGAUCUGAGGCUUAAUUAUCGCAUGCGUCGUUAUCAUUCAGAUAUUGGUUCUAAUCCAUAUAGAAAUUGCCGUUUGAUAGAAAUUGAGGAAGAUGAAGGUAGAGAUAUUGUGCUUCCUGGUGGGCUUCUACUUCUCAAUGUUCCCGAAUCCAUCAAAUGUCAUGAAAGCGAGCAUACACGACUUCAUUCUGAUGUUCUUUCUUUUCCGCAGGUAUGGAUUAUGGAAAGUUUUACUGUUUUUGUGCUUUGACAAAUCUUCUUUUCAGUAUCUACAAUCCGUAUGUAACGUGUAUAAAAAGAAAACAACAUUAAUUGCUAUGCAACUGUUUGAGCAUGAAAAAUGUAAUUGGUUGGUAAGUNUUUU